rnacentral:tRNA from 1 species
GGGCACGUAGUUCAGUCCGGCAGAGCGCUCGGGCAGGCCGGCGCCCCGCGGCCUUUGGGGGGCCGACCUCUUGGGAGGCCCUGGGUUCAAAUCCCAGCGUGCCCA